rnacentral:rRNA from 1 species
CAUCGAGACUCCUACGGGAGCAGCAGUGGGAAUAUUGGACAAUGGGCGCAAGCCUGAUCCAGCCAUGCCGCGUGAGUGAUGAAGGCCCUAGGGUUGUAAAGCUCUUUCAGCGAGGAGGAUAAUGACGUUACUCGCAGAAGAAGCCCCGGCUAACUUCGUGCCAGCAGCCGCGGUAAUACGAAGGGGCUAGCGUUGUUCGGAAAUCACUGGGCGUAAAAGCGCACGUAGGCGGACUUUUAAGUCAGGGUGAAAAUCCCGGGCUCAACCCCGGAACUGCCUUUGAUACUGGAAGUCUUGAGUCCGAGAGAGGUGAGUGGAACUCCGAGUGUAGAGGUGAAAUUCGUAGAUAUUCGGAAGAACACCAGUGGCGAAGGCGGCUCACUGGCUCGGUACUGACGCUGAGGUGCGAAAGCGUGGGGACGCAAACAGGAUUAGACUACCCUGGUAG